GGUUGUGUAGUUCAGUGGUAGAACACUUUUCUCAUAAGAAAGUAGUCGGUGGUUCAAAUCCAUCCACAACCA
rnacentral:tRNA from 1 species